rnacentral:rRNA from 1 species
ACCACGCUGCCAAGAAAAGCCUCUAAGGAGUCCGUGGGUGACCGUACCGCAAACCGACACAGGUAGGCGAGGAGAAAAUCCUAAGGCGCUAGUGAGAACCCUCGUUUAGGAACUCGGCAAACUAACCCCGUAACUUCGGGAUAAGGGGUGCCCUUUCUGGUGAACGGACUUGCUCCGGAAGCUGGGAAGGGUUGCAGUGAAACGGCCCAAGCGACUGUUUACUAAAAACACAGGACUCUGCUAAGUCAUAAAAACGACGUAUAGGGUCUGACGCCUGCCCGGUGCCGGAAGGUUAAAGAGAGGGGUCAGCCGCAAGGCAAAGCUCUGAACUGAAGCCCCGGUAAACGGCGGCCGUAACUAUAACGGUCCUAAGGUAGCGAAAUUCCUUGUCGGGUAAGUUCCGACCUGCACGAAUGGCGUAACGAUUUGGGCGCUGUCUCAACGAGGGGCACUGCGAAUCUGUAGCACCGGUGAAGAUGCCGGUUUCCCGCAUCAAGACGGAAAGACCCCGUGCACCUUUACUGCAACCUAGCCUUGAACUUGGGUGCUUCCUGCGCAGGAUAGGUGGGAGGCUUUGAAGCCGGGCUCUUGGGCUCGGCGGAGCCAACGGUGAGAUACCACCCUUGAAGCUCUUAGGUUCUAACCUACUCCCGUAAUCCGGGAGAGGAACAUGGCUAGGCGGGUAGUUUGACUGGGGCGGUCGCCUCCUAAAGAGUAACGGAGGCGCUCGAAGGUUCUCUCAGGCUGCUUGGAAAUCAGCCGUCGAGUGCAAAGGCACAAGAGAGCUUGACUGCGAGACCCACAAGUCGAGCAGGUGCGAAAGCAGGACUUAGUGAUCCGGUGGUUUCUGUGUGGAAGGGCCAUCGCUCAACGGAUAGAAGGUCCGGGGAUAACAGGCUGAUCUGGUCCAAGAGUUCACAUCGACGACCAGGUUUGGCACCUCGAUGUCGGCUCAUCGCAUCCUGGAGCUGUAGCAGGUUCCAAGGGUUGGGCUGUUCGCCCAUUAAAGCGGUACGUGAGCUGGUUUUAGAACGUCGCGAGACAGUUCGGUCCCUAUCUGAUGUGGGCGCAGGAGACUUGAGAGGGCCUGUCCUUAGUACGAGAGGACCGGGAUGGACGAACCUCUAGUGCACCAGUUGUCUUGCCAAAGGCACAGCUGGGUAGCUACGUUCGGUUUGGAUAAGCGCUGAAAGCAUCUAAGCGCGAAACCAGCCUCAAGAUGACGUCUCCCGCAGCAUAAGCUGCCUAAAGACCCCUUGUAGACUACAAGGUUGAUAGGCCGGAUGUGCAAGAGCAGCAAUGCUCUCAGCUCCGGUACUAAUCGGUCGUGAGGCUUGACC